GGGGGAGUUUAUCCUAUCCUCCUGGCUUCCUCCCAUCUUCUGUUUCCAAUUGGUCAAAAUUCAUCUCAUGAGGAGUUUACUCCUCUGCAAACACUCAUUGCAUCAUCCAGCCCCUCCUGAGGCCGUGCAAGAUACCAGAAGUGACAGGAGAAGCCAGAAAUACUGGGCAUGAAGUUGGUUGGUCGCAGCUAACGGAAGGGUUGCUGGCCAGCCCCAUGCAGCAGAACCAGUGGGUCCAAGAAGAAUCUGUUGGCAGUUGAAGUGUGGUAAGCAGCUGUGGAUACAGGAAGCAGACAAGAGAAUCUAAGAGGGCAAGUUAAAUGUAUCAGGCUCCAGGAUCCCAGAUGGCUGCAUCCUAAUAUCCUCAUCAUCGCAGAGGCUUAAUUAAAUGCCGUCAGACUGCCGAGGGCAGCAUUCUAAGACAGCCGCCAAAGUAGCUACUCCAAGACGGUCCUGAGUCUGGAGAGGCACCCGGGGUCACAGCAUUGUCUAUCUCUGUGUGGGGAAGAAAUCAGAAGCGCUCACUUAGCCAUUGUUAUGCAUAACAGGGAAGAGAGGAAAGAAGGCCUUCUGACUGAGAGACGCUUAGCUGUUCAGGACUCAAGGCGCAGGCGUUCUGGGAACAGCACUGAUUCAUUCGAGGACGUGCAGUCUAGUCAGUGAUGAGCAGCCUGGGGAGAUCUUCUCCAGGAGGAUGGGGAGCAAGAUCCACUUCCUGCCUUCUGGAAACGCUCGUCUUACUAUUGUUGCACCUUAGAUGCAAGAGGCAUGUGUCCUCGCCCUGGCCCUGCAGGGACCUGCUGUGUUCACCCUUCCCGCCCCG
rnacentral:lncRNA from 1 species